UACGAAGGGGGCGAGCGUUGUUCGGAAUUACUGGGCGUAAAGGGCGCGUAGGCGGUGUGUCAAGUCAGGCGUGAAAGCCCCGGGCUCAACCUGGGAACCGCGCUUGAGACUGGCACGCUCGAGUCCGGGAGAGGAUGGUGGAAUUCCCAGUGUAGAGGUGAAAUUCGUAGAUAUUGGGAAGAACACCGGUGGCGAAGGCGGGUCUCUGGGCCGAUACUGACGCUGGAGGAGCGGAAAGCGUGGGGAGCGAACAGG
rnacentral:rRNA from 1 species